rnacentral:rRNA from 1 species
AGCAGCCGCGGUAAUUCCAGCUCCAAUAGCGUAUAUUAAAGUUGUUGCAGUUAAAAGGCUCGUAGUUGAACUUCGGGGUUUACCCAUUGGUCAGGCUUAAUUGUCUGUACUGGUGAGAUAAAUCUCUACCUUCUGAGGAACUUUCAUGCCAUUUAUUUGGUGUGAUGGGAAAUCAGGACUGUUACUUUGAAAAAAUUAGAGUGUUUAAAGCAGGCUAACGUCUGAAUACAUUAGCAUGGAAUAAUGAAAUAGGACGGACUGAUUCUAUUUCGUUGGUUUCUAGGAUCACCGUAAUGAUUAAUAGGGAUAGUUGGGGGCAUUAGUAUUCAAUUGUCAGAGGUGAAAUUCUUGGAUUUAUUGAAGACUAACUACUGCGAAAGCAUUUGCCAAGGAUGUUUUCAUUAAUCAAGAACGAAAGUUAGGGGAUCGAAGACGAUCAGAUACCGUCGUAGUCUUAACCAUAAACUAUGCCGACUAGGGAUCGGACGAAGUUAAUUUAUAAUGACGCGUUCGGCAUCUU